CCUUGGCUAUCGCAAUUUUCAUGACGCCUCCCGCAGCCGUUCGGCCGCGCAUGACUUAAUCACCGGCCACGCCGCCGGUACAACGAAUUUCAAUCAGGUGAGAAAGAUCGCCAUCAGGGCGACGAUGGCGAUGACGGCAAUCGGAGCGUGCCGUACUUCGUCAUCAUGAGAAAACCUUCGUAGGUCUGCUCGUGCGCGGGAUAGUCCAUGCCAUCCGCCGUGGUGUACGCAACUUCAUUGUGGUCAGACAUCAAUCCCCUCCAGCGCCAUUCUCAAUUGUGACGCGAAUUAGCCCAAUUGCGAGACAAGGGCAACUUUCGUCGUAGGCCGAUUCCAAGGAUUAAACACGUCCGCAUGCAAGCCAUGCAAUGGCCCCGGCGGAAAUUUCCGCGAUGCGGAACGGGAAGU
rnacentral:misc_RNA from 1 species